UAAGGAAUAUUGGUCAAUGGAGGCAACUCUGAACCAGCCAUGCCGCGUGAAGGAUUAAGGCCCUCUGGGUUGUAAACUUCUUUUAUAUGGGAAGAAAUGUUCUGAUUCUUCAGAGCUUGACGGUACCAUAGGAAUAAGCACCGGCUAACUCCGUGCCAGCAGCCGCGGUAAUACGGAGGGUGCAAGCGUUAUCCGGAUUCACUGGGUUUAAAGGGUGCGUAGGUGGGCAGAUAAGUGAGUGGUGAAAUCUUCCGGCUUAACCGGAAAAUUGCCGUUGAUACUAUUUGUCUUGAAUAUUGUGGAGGUAAGCGGAAUAUGUCAUGUAGCGGUGAAAUGCUUAGAUAUGACAUAGAACACCAAUUGCGAAGGCAGCUUACUAUAUAAUUAUUGACACUGAGGCACGAAAGCGUGGGUAGCGAACA
rnacentral:rRNA from 1 species